GCUGUGGAGUGCUGGCCAGAACAGCACUAUCAUGGAAGCAGACACAGACGCUAGUUAACGCUAGCCAAUUAGCAUAACAAAAUAAAACAACAGCAAACCGCUAUUAUUCCCUCAAAAUAACUCCCCCACACAAGCCCAGCAAGGGACCUGAGUGCAGAAUCAUUUAAUCAGCACAAGAGAUAAACUCCCUAAAACUCUGGAAAUGAGCUUCUGCAGCUAAUAUUCACCUUCUCACAGGUGGUAAUGAAUUGGAGAGGUGUGAGCCCUGAGCCUCUGCUGCUGUCCAGGAGCACCAUGUUUAGAGAGAGAGAGAGAGAUGGAAAUAGAGUGCACUAGCAGAAGCAGUAAGGCUAUAAAAAAGAGAGACAAAGCAGCUCUUGGCAGGGGAGGUGAUUCUCCAGAGGAAGACAGAAACUGAAAGGUCUCUGAAAUGGCGUUUGAUGUCACCACUGCUCUCUACAGAUGUGCGCUCCAAAACCCAACACACAACGUUCCUCACUGUCCUGCUGCCACAGAGCCUACACAACACACACACACACACACUUUAGAUUUAGAGCUGUCUUGUUACAGGCAGCUCUGCAUUUCUGCAAUUUCUACAGCCACCCUAACAAACACCCACACAAACAAACACACACACACACACACACACACACACACAGAUCACCUCAGAUCCUCCACUCAGGCUUUUGCUCACUUUGCAGAGAGAGAAAAACCCACUAGACCCCACUAAAGAGCUUCUUCAGCCUGCUACUACCAGGGAAAAGACCGCAGAGUCUCAAAUCUAGGACCAGCAGACUGAGGGACAGCUCCAUCCACCA
rnacentral:lncRNA from 1 species